ACACCCUCAAGCCUAGCUUGGUGUUGGGCGUCUGUCCCGCCGUUUCGCGCGCGGACUCGCCUCAAAGUCAUUGGCGGCGGUCGUGCCGGCCCCUCGCGCAGCACAUUUGCGCUUCUCGGAGGCCCGGCGGACCCGCGCUCCAGCAAGACCUCUCACG
rnacentral:misc_RNA from 1 species